rnacentral:sRNA from 1 species
GUGUAACCGCCGUCGAUCAUGAGGUUCGCGCCGUUGACCAUCGCGGCCGCGCCGCCGGCGAGGUAGAGUACCGAUGCGGCGAUCUCCCAUGGCUUGGCGAAGCGCCGCGUCGGGAU